GGGUUGUGAGGUUAAGCGACUAAGCGUACACGGUGGAUGCCCUGGCAGUCAGAGGCGAUGAAGGGCGUGCUAAUCUGCGAUAAGCGCCGGUAAGGUGAUAUGAACCGUUAUAACCGGCGAUACCCGAAUGGGGAAACCCAGUGUGAUUCGUCACACUAUCAUUAACUGAAUCCAUAGGUUAAUGAGGCGAACCGGGGGAACUGAAACAUCUAAGUACCCCGAGGAAAAGAAAUCAACCGAGAUUCCCCCAGUAGCGGCGAGCGAACGGGGAGGAGCCCAGAGCCUGAAUCAGCAUGUGUGUUAGUGGAAGCGUCUGGAAAGGCGCGCGAUACAGGGUGACAGCCCCGUACACAAAAGCGCAUGUGCUGUGAGCUCGAUGAGUAGGGCGGGACACGUGGUAUCCUGUCUGAAUAUGGGGGGACCAUCCUCCAAGGCUAAAUACUCCUGACUGACCGAUAGUGAACCAGUACCGUGAGGGAAAGGCGAAAAGAACCCCGGCGAGGGGAGUGAAAAAGAACCUGAAACCGUGUACGUACAAGCAGUGGGAGCACCCUUUUGGGUGUGACUGCGUACCUUUUGUAUAAUGGGUCAGCGACUUAUAUUCUGUAGCAAGGUUAACCGAAUAGGGGAGCCGGAGGGAAACCGAGUCUUAAUUGGGCGUUAAGUUGCAGGGUAUAGACCCGAAACCCGGUGAUCUAGCCAUGGGCAGGUUGAAGGUUGGGUAACACUAACUGGAGGACCGAACCGACUAAUGUUGAAAAAUUAGCGGAUGACCUGUGGCUGGGGGUGAAAGGCCAAUCAAACCGGGAGAUAGCUGGUUCUCCCCGAAAGCUAUUUAGGUAGCGCCUCGUGAAUUCAUCUCCGGGGGUAGAGCACUGUUUCGGCUAGGGGGCCAUCCCGGCUUACCAACCCGAUGCAAACUGCGAAUACCGGAGAAUGUUAUCACGGGAGACACACGGCGGGUGCUAACGUCCGUCGUGAAGAGGGAAACAACCCAGACCGCCAGCUAAGGUCCCAAAGUCAUGGUUAAGUGGGAAACGAUGUGGGAAGGCACAGACAGCCAGGAUGUUGGCUUAGAAGCAGCCAUCAUUUAAAGAAAGCGUAAUAGCUCACUGGUCGAGUCGGCCUGCGCGGAAGAUGUAACGGGGCUAAACCAUGCACCGAAGCUGCGGCAGCGACGUUUAUGCGUUGUUGGGUAGGGGAGCGUUCUGUAAGCCUGCGAAGGUGGCCUGUGAGGGUUGCUGGAGGUAUCAGAAGUGCGAAUGCUGACAUAAGUAACGAUAAAGCGGGUGAAAAGCCCGCUCGCCGGAAGACCAAGGGUUCCUGUCCAACGUUAAUCGGGGCAGGGUGAGUCGACCCCUAAGGCGAGGCCGAAAGGCGUAGUCGAUGGGAAACGGGUUAAUAUUCCCGUACUUGGUGUUACUGCGAAGGGGGGACGGAGAAGGCUAUGUUGGCCGGGCGACGGUUGUCCCGGUUUAAGCGUGUAGGCUGGUUUUCCAGGCAAAUCCGGAAAAUCAAGGCUGAGGCGUGACGACGAGGCACUACGGUGCUGAAGCAACAAAUGCCCUGCUUCCAGGAAAAGCCUCUAAGCAUCAGGUAACAUCAAAUCGUACCCCAAACCGACACAGGUGGUCAGGUAGAGAAUACCAAGGCGCUUGAGAGAACUCGGGUGAAGGAACUAGGCAAAAUGGUGCCGUAACUUCGGGAGAAGGCACGCUGACACGUAGGUGAAGUGAUUUACUCAUGGAGCUGAAGUCAGUCGAAGAUACCAGCUGGCUGCAACUGUUUAUUAAAAACACAGCACUGUGCAAACACGAAAGUGGACGUAUACGGUGUGACGCCUGCCCGGUGCCGGAAGGUUAAUUGAUGGGGUCAGCGCAAGCGAAGCUCCUGAUCGAAGCCCCGGUAAACGGCGGCCGUAACUAUAACGGUCCUAAGGUAGCGAAAUUCCUUGUCGGGUAAGUUCCGACCUGCACGAAUGGCGUAAUGAUGGCCAGGCUGUCUCCACCCGAGACUCAGUGAAAUUGAACUCGCUGUGAAGAUGCAGUGUACCCGCGGCAAGACGGAAAGACCCCGUGAACCUUUACUAUAGCUUGACACUGAACAUUGAGCCUUGAUGUGUAGGAUAGGUGGGAGGCUUUGAAGCGUGGACGCCAGUCUGCGUGGAGCCGACCUUGAAAUACCACCCUUUAAUGUUUGAUGUUCUAACGUGGACCCGUAAUCCGGGUUGCGGACAGUGUCUGGUGGGUAGUUUGACUGGGGCGGUCUCCUCCUAAAGAGUAACGGAGGAGCACGAAGGUUGGCUAAUCCUGGUCGGACAUCAGGAGGUUAGUGCAAUGGCAUAAGCCAGCUUGACUGCGAGCGUGACGGCGCGAGCAGGUGCGAAAGCAGGUCAUAGUGAUCCGGUGGUUCUGAAUGGAAGGGCCAUCGCUCAACGGAUAAAAGGUACUCCGGGGAUAACAGGCUGAUACCGCCCAAGAGUUCAUAUCGACGGCGGUGUUUGGCACCUCGAUGUCGGCUCAUCACAUCCUGGGGCUGAAGUAGGUCCCAAGGGUAUGGCUGUUCGCCAUUUAAAGUGGUACGCGAGCUGGGUUUAGAACGUCGUGAGACAGUUCGGUCCCUAUCUGCCGUGGGCGCUGGAGAACUGAGGGGGGCUGCUCCUAGUACGAGAGGACCGGAGUGGACGCAUCACUGGUGUUCGGGUUGUCAUGCCAAUGGCACUGCCCGGUAGCUAAAUGCGGAAGAGAUAAGUGCUGAAAGCAUCUAAGCACGAAACUUGCCCCGAGAUGAGUUCUCCCUGAGACUUAAAGUCUCCUGAAGGAACGUUGAAGACGACGACGUUGAUAGGCCGGGUGUGUAAGCGCAGCGAUGCGUUGAGCUAACCGGUACUAAUGAACCGUGAGGCUUAACCUUACAACGCCGAAG
rnacentral:rRNA from 3 species